rnacentral:lncRNA from 1 species
CAAAAUUGUGGGUUUAUGAUUUGGCCCUUAUUUACACAUUAUUGUGUCCUAAUACACCUUUGACAAACUUCUUUCAGAAAAAGAUAUGCCUGAUUUCACUGGGUGGUGGAACUGGAAGAGACUCCAGAAUUCAAAUUUUCCAAAACUCUCACUAUAGAGAAAACCCAACUUCUGUGUUAAAAAUCCUGUGUGGCAGAAACGGAGUGGGACACAAAGGAAAAGACCACCCUGCAAGACUGUGACUCAGCUGACCCGGAAUGAAG